rnacentral:rRNA from 1 species
CCUACGGGAGGCAGCAGUGGGGGAUAUUGCACAAUGGGGGAAACCCUGAUGCAGCAACGCCGCGUGUGGGAAGAAGGUUUUCGGAUUGUAAACCACUGUUCUUGGUGAAGAUAAUGACGGUAACCAAGGAGAAAGCUCCGGCUAACUACGUGCCAGCAGCCGCGGUAAUACGUAGGGAGCAAGCGUUGUCCGGAUUUACUGGGUGUAAAGGGUGCGUAGGCGGUCUUGCAAGUCAGACGUGAAAACCACAGGCUCAACCUGUGGACUGCGUUUGAAACUGUGGGGCUUGAGUGAAGUAGAGGUAGGCGGAAUUCCCGGUGUAGCGGUGAAAUGCGUAGAGAUCGGGAGGAACACCAGUGGCGAAGGCGGCCUACUGGGCUUUAACUGACGCUGAGGCACGAAAGCAUGGGUAGCAAACAGGAUUAGAUACCCUUGUAGUC